UACGUAGGGGCAAGCGUUGUCCGGAAUGAUUGGGCGUAAAGGGCGCGUAGGCGGCUCUGUAAGUCUGGGGUGAAAGUCCUCUUUUCAAGGGAGGAAUUGCUUUGGAAACUAUAGAGCUUGAGUGCAGGAGAGGUUAUCGGAAUUCCCGGUGUAUCGGUGAAAUGCGUAGAUAUCGGGAGGAACAUCGGUGGCGAAGGCGGGUAACUGGACUGCAACUGACGCUGAGGCGCGAAAGUGUGGGGAGCAAACAGGAUUAGAUACCCGCGUAGUCCCUGAG
rnacentral:rRNA from 1 species